UACGGGGGGGGCAAGCGUUGUUCGGAAUUACUGGGCGUAAAGAGCGCGCAGGCGGUCGUUCAAGUCGAGUGUGAAAGCCCCCGGCUCAACUGGGGAGGGUCACUCGAUACUGAUCGACUCGAAGGCAGGAGAGGGAAGCGGAAUUCCCGGUGUAGUGGUGAAAUGCGUAGAUAUCGGGAGGAACACCAGUGGCGAAGGCGGCUUUCUGGCCUGUUCUUGACGCUGAGGCGCGAAAGCUAGGGUAGCAAACGGG
rnacentral:rRNA from 1 species